GUAUGGGGGAGGGGAUAGAAUGCUAGUCGUGCGCCUUCCAGCCAUGUGGGAGGCGCGGCGCACAGCUCAGUAACACGUUGCUAACCUGCCCUUGGGACGGGAAUACCCCCGGGAAACUGGGGCUAAUCCUCGAUAGGUGAAGAACUCUGGAAUGAGUCUUCGCCCAAAAGGCGUCGGAUCAUGCUUUCGGCGUCGCCCAAGGAUGGGGCUGCGACCGAUCAGGUUGUUGGUGAGGUAAUGGCCCACCAAGCCUAUAACCGGUGCGGGCCGUGAGAGCGGGAGCCCGGAGAUGGGCACUGAGACAAGGGCCCAGGUCCUACGGGGCGCAGCAGUCGCGAAACCUUUGCAAUACACGAAAGUGUGACAGGGUCAUCCCGAGUGCCGACCGCUGAGGUUGGCUUUUACCCAGUCUAGAAAGCUGGGGGAAUAAGGAGAGGGCAAGUCUGGUGUCAGCCGCCGCGGUAAUACCAGCUCUCCGAGUGGUGUGGACGUUUAUUGGGCCUAAAGCAUCCGUAGCUGGCUGAUCAAGUCCCUCGUUAAACCCACCGAUUUAAUCGUUGGCUUGCGGGGGAUACUGUUCGGCUAGGGGGCGAGAGAGGCAGACGGUAUUCCCGGGGUAGGGGUGAAAUCCUAUAAUCCCGAGAAGACCACCAGUGGCGAAGGCUGUCUGCUAGAACGCGCCCGACGGUGAGGGAUGAAAGCUGGGGGAGCGAACCGGAUUAGAUACCCGGGUAGUCCCAGCUGUAAACGAUGCAGACUAGGUGUUUGGACGGCCACGUGCCGUUCUAGUGCCGCAGGGAAGCUGUUAAGUCUGCCGCCUGGGGAGUACGAUCGCAAGAUUGAAACUUAAAGGAAUUGGCGGGGGAGCACCACAAAGGGUGAAGCUUGCGGUUUAAUUGGAGUCAACGCCGGG
rnacentral:rRNA from 1 species